GCAAACUUGGUCAUUUAGAGGAAGUAAAAGUCGUAACAAGGUCUCCGUUGGUGAACCAGCGGAGGGAUCAUUACAGAGUUUUUUAAACUCCCAAACCCAUGUGAAUCUUACCUUCUGUUGCCUCGGCGGAUGAUGCUACCCUGAAGUACCUACCCGGUACUUGAGGGUGGCUCACCGUCAAAGGACCACAAACUCUUGUUUUAUUUUGGAACUCUGAAUUACAAACUUAAUAAGUUAAAACUUUCAACAACGGAUCUCUUGGUUCUGGCAUCGAUGAAGAACGCAGC
rnacentral:misc_RNA from 1 species